rnacentral:rRNA from 1 species
UACGUAGGGUGCGAGCGUUAAUCGGAAUUACUGGGCGUAAAGUGUGCGCAGGUGGCUUCGCAAGUCGAGUGUGAAAUCCCCGGGCUUAACCUGGGAAUUGCGCUCGAAACUACGGAGCUGGAGUAUGGCAGAGGGAGGUGGAAUUCCACGUGUAGCGGUGAAAUGCGUAGAGAUGUGGAGGAACACCGAUGGCGAAGGCAGCCUUCUGGGCCAACACUGACGCUCAUGCACGAAAGCGUGGGGAGCAAACAGG